ACAGGGUCCCCUCCCUCUGCCUUCCAUAAAUAUUGGUACCGAGGAUCCAGACUACGAAGAAUUGGACAUUCCAAAGAGAAUAGUUUUUCUUCUAAGUUGCUUUAAAAAUAUAUAUAUAUAUAUGUAUAUAGUGUGUAUAUAUAUAUAUAUAUAUAUAUAUAUAUAGUGUAUGUGUGUCUGUGUAUAUACACACACACACGUAUAUGUAUAUAUCUUUUAAAAUUGCACCUGUAUUGGUAUAAGGGCGAAGGCAAGUGAAAGAAGGUGACCGAGCCAGGAAGCGAGAGCACAGAUGGCUUGGUGGUGGUAUGGUGUGCUCCAUCGGCUGCCAACCUAGGGCCAUCGUCUGCCUCCAUCACCCCUCCGCCCGCUUGCCUACCCACCCAAUCCCAAACGGGUGCUGGAUCAGGUGCCGAAUCUGGCUGCCUCCUCGGCUGCCAUCCUGUGCCCAUGGAGAUGGGAGGAGGCGAAUGGAGGGGCAGCGACAACAGUCCCUGUGCUCUGGGAGGAAGGCGCGGUACACAGGAGCUGUUGGCAUCACAUCUGUCAGGCCAGUGCCCAGUGCUGGAGCAGAGGGGAAUGGUGGACCCUGGAGGCAGGGAGGAGGGACAAGAAUUGUUGCUGGCCUUCUAGAAGCUCAGCUCUGAGAAAUGGUUGGACUUUGAGGUGGUUGCUCUGUUCCAGCCUGGGAAAGUGAAGUGGUAGAGAGUAGACAUGGAAAUACCAAGAAAGAGUUCCAGAGCUGGCGAGGAUGGACAGUGCCACCACUGCCCAGGGAAACUUGUUUGGGCUGGCAACAUGGCCCUUUGUCACAGCACUGAAGGAGACAGCAAGGGGACUGGGGCAUGAAGGGGGGUGGCACUGUCCAUGGAGACUGGCAUGAGUGCUGGCAUUGUAUAGAACAAGGAAGGGUAACAGUGCCUCCCAUUAGUCUGGUGGAAGAGUUGUUGUGCCAGGAGUGAGAAAAGAGGAGGUGAGAUGGGGGUCUUUAUUUGAAAGAACAGACUUUUUUUCUGCCAGGACCUCCUUCCAAUUUCUUCUUAGGCAUGAGGAAUGAAUGACAGAUAGAAGGCAGCGUGAGGACACAAAGGAAGAAGCCCGCCAUUGCUAAGACCCCAAGCAAGAAGAGUGGAGAGCAACUGCCAGUCCUGCUUGGCCUCCAGCCAGUUCCUUGCUGAAGAUAGCCAGGUCCUCCAGCCCGGUCUGUAUGUGCCACUGUUGCAGGUGCGGUGGUGGGGGCAGGGCGUGCUUGGUGAGGCGGGCUCUAGAGUGGCGAGGGCACCUUUCUGCCAAUCCCAUUUGAACCUCACUCUAACAAGCGAGGUGUCUGAUUUUUCUUUCUGGUGCCUCCCUUUGCCUCACCCCUCUUUCAUCUUUCCAUCACCACCUGGGUCCUACUGCUUGGCACCCAACCAACUAGAUGCCGCCACACUUGGCAGUGCUGCACUGGCAUGUGAACAAUGUCUCAAAUCCUGGCACUGCGGCAAACCCAAAACCGCCCGACAUGCUCACAACGCCACUUGGUGGCAAGGAGAGAGAGGAGCCCGCACACAGAGUGCCAGGCAUUGGGUGGAACUCUGUGCUAGGUAGGAAGUGGCCAGAGACGAUGCCCCUAACAGCUGGGCGGGGCCAGCAUUCUCUAGGCCACCCCAGUUCUGCCAUUCUCCUGGACACCCACCUCCCUCUUUUCCUCACUGCCUCCAAAAAGGGAAUUUACAUGGUGCUCUACUGUGUUUGAACAGCUAGGCAAAGGGAACCCAAAGUACAGGAGGGUGAAAAGGGAGCCUGGAGAGAGACAUGCCAGCUGUGUUGUCACAGAAAUGGACUGGGGAUGUAGCUCAAUGGUAGAGUACUUGCUAGCGUACAUGAGGCCUAGAUUCAAUCCCCAGGACUGGGAGAGAGAGAGGGGAAAAAAAGGAUAUCAGAUAAAAGAGAUUGGAAGGGAUGACGGAGGAAGGAGAGACCUUCAGAGCUUGCUGUUGGAUAGCAGGGCAACAGGAACUAGUACAUAAUUACCUUGUGCCCUGUGAUUGGCUGAGCUAUAGUUGAGACGAACUUAUUGUUUCUCCUUUGUUAAAAGGUUUAUAUUCAGGCUGGGGAUGUAGCUCAGCUGCACAAGCAGCUGCCUGGCAAGUGCAAGGUUGUGAAUUUGACCCCUGGUACCAAAAAAAAAAAAAAAAAAAAAUGUCCUGGAAAGAUGGAGAGGUAGUCUAGGUCUGGAGAGGUAGGCAAGUGUUAGGAAGGCACUGGCACCUAGGACUUGCCCAUCCAGAAAGGAUGCAAGGAGAUUUUGUGGUUAGGAAUUUCUCAGUGAUACCUCAAAUUGAGUUGGGUAGGUUUCGUGUCUUUGAAAUCUAUGCUAGAAGGGAGAGUGAAGAUGAGCAGUGAGCUCAUGUGGAGGGAAAGGCCCAUUGGAGAAAAAUCCUUGCAUCUGUAGUAACAGAGACCAGCCCUUUAAGCUGCUAUCUGGAAGUUUCUAGUUGGAUUGGCUUUCCCUGCUUUUGGGUACAAAGAAACUGUAGGUCAGUGGCCUGGCAGAUCUGUGGAAAAUUUGGCUCUGGGUGAUGUCAAGAAGGAAGUUAGGCCUGUCCGGAGGGAAGUAAAGCCAUUCAUUGUCCAUGUGGGGCUGAGCUGCUCAGGGCUGGGAAAGUUCUGAUUUCAGCAUCUCUGGAGUGGAUGGCAGCUUCAGAAGAAGUAAGGUGGUUUCCACAGCAGAGGAGAAAGCAGAAGGCACUCAGCCAAGGGGGUGAGUGGACAACGUUUAUAUUUUCUGUCCUGUUCAAGAGCAGCCAACAUAAGCCAAAGACACUAUUGGAUUUCUAAUAUGUCGGAGUGAAGGGGUUGGUGAUGUCACUGUCAUGAAGACAUGAGGGGAGCCAGGACACCGCAGUAGCCCCAGGCGUGUGUAACAGGGCUGGUCUGGGUGCUGCAAAGUUGUGACAAGUUACAGGUGUACAUGGGAAUGAGCUCUCUUAGCUGGCGAUUCUCAACCUCCAGAGAGUGUAGAUCACUUCAGCAGGAGUUUCUGAUUCAGUUGGUCUGAGGGAUGGUCCAGAAACGUGCAUUUUAAACAAGCUCAGGUGACAUGAUACUCAUGGGCAAACCCUGAGAAACAGCUGUCCUCAGAGACGGCAUUUACAGUUGAUCUGGUCUGGGGUUCUGCUGCCUUUGCUUCUUUCUUCCUCCUCAGCAAUAUUCAUGUCUUUAUGCAGGCAUGUGUGGGAUACGUAUGUUUGGACUGUGUGUGUGUACUGUGAAGAUCGUUCUUCCUUUCACCCCUAGAUUCUCAGUGGUGUUCUGCCCAUGUAUUUCUCAAAAACAUCAAAAAACAUUAGGUUAUGAGCAUUGCCAGGAGAUUGUUGUCUGUGGUCCAGUGAUACUUGUGUGGAUUUUGUGGCAGAGUACAGGACAGGCCUUUGUCACGACUUCCUGAAGGCUGGAUCCCAGGGGAUGAAGUAGGGUCAGUAGAAUACAGGGCCAGACUUACUGCUGACACUCAGCAAUUUACAGAGCUGCUGUUGUUUGAGCAUUUGGUGGGGAUCCAGAAGUGAGCAGUGUGGGCAUUCUUCAAGCUGAAAAGCCGCAUGCAGAUUUGACAUCAGGGAGGGACUGCAGUGUGGAGCAGCACUGAGUCCCUGUUACUUACUUGUUCCAGUGUUUUAGCUAUUGUUUGUGAAAGAAUGUGUGUGUGGUUGGAUAGGAUACAGGGACAGGCUGGGCUUCUUUCUGGUUCACUUGUGUUAGUUAACCUGCUUCUCCACUAGGUAUUAGCAAUGCAUGCUUGUAAUCCCGAUGCUCAGGAAGCUUAGGCAAAAAGAUCUCAGUGAGUUCAAGGCCAGUUCAAGGCCAGCCUGGGCUACAUAGUGAAUUCAGGCCCUGCCUGGAAUACAGUGAGACCCUGUCUCAAAGAACAGAACAAAACAAAACCUUUGCAACCUUUCUUCCUAAUGUCUUUUUUACCUCUCCUCCUUGGAGUCCAGAGUCAUUUAAGGAACUUUUCUCCCCAUUUCUUAUCGACUUUAGUGUAAAUGAAACUAGCAUGUAUUGGCAAGUGUAAAGCGUGAUCCAGAGACUCUUUCUGUCUCUCAUGUCUCCCUCUCUCCAGGGGGUGCCUUGCUGGCAUUUGUGUGUAUCUCUGGACACCUGCAGCUGAGGUCUGCUUCUUUUUCUUAGCAUCAGUGUGCCUGUUUUGCUGUACUUAUAUACAGCAAAAAGUACAGUAUAUUGCUGUACUUAUUUCAGGGUUUUUUUCCCCUUUGGUUUCAGAUUUGAAUAUCUUUACAAGGAUGAAUGACUGGAUGAACACAUGUCUUAACAUUAGUCAGGAUGUGGAGAUUUGGGGGAAUAAAUGAUCUGGUCUAUUAGGUCUGUAAGCAGAUAAGGAACAAAUAGAAUAAGCAGGUGGGUACUACUAAGCCUGGAAUAACUGGCUUUCUUGGUUCUUACACACAGUUCUCUUAAUUACUCCAGGGCUGGAGGACUAGGGUAAGAACAGGUUUGUUUUUGUAAUCCUGCUACAGAUAUUGCCCCAUUUGGCCACUAAAGUUUAAAGUUUCUCAUGUUCAGCAGUUAGAUUUUUGUUCCUAGUUAAGAAGUACCUUAAGUUAUCCUCACAAAGAUUCUGGUUUAGAACAAAGACAGCUGAGAUCAUUUGUACUUCCUCCUCUUCAGUAAUGACCCUGGCAUAAGUAGGGACCUGCAUUUGCAUGCUUUUUUAGGAUUUCAUAUUUCAGAAAUCUUAGUUCUUUGCUCCAGGCUGUGGAAGUCUUAUGAGCCAUUGAUUCAGGGUCACAUUAUACAUAGGGUGGCUGGAGGCUAUAAAAUAGAUAUCAGUGUGCCGGGUGCUGGAGCUAAGUCUAUUCCUCCACAACAUCCUGUCACCUCUAGUAUUCUGCACAGGGCUAGGCUGACUCAGCCCUCUGUCCAUCAGAAGUGCCACCAUGUGUUGUUCUCUGAAGCAAGGUUACUGCCAGGACAUCUAGUGUGAAAAUGGAAUGCUCCUUGGGAAUAUGGAACGAUGUACCCUCAAGUAGCAUGCCAACUGACCUGUCAGCAGCCAGCCCAGCCAUUUUCUCCACAAAAUUCCAGGGUACAGUUGUUCAGUGGCAGCUCGUCACUCUGCUAUGCAUGUACACAGUGCCCCAGUGCCUCCUAGGCCAGGGUGUUUAGGUGUGAGGUGUUAGAGGGUCUUUUUUUUUUUUUUUUGGUCUUUUUCUGUUUUUACCGGUACCAGGGAUCGAACUCACGACUGCCUGCUUCCAAGGCAGGUGCUUAUGCCACUGAGCUAAAUCCCCAGCCCUGAGGGCAUUAACUCUUGAGGAAGACAUUCAUAGUUCAAAGUAAGCCAACCUACCCUGGCUGUAAGUCCCUAAAAUGCAUGACACCAUGCUUUUAAUCAUCCAGGGCUAGGUGUUUGCCAAAUGUUCUUUAAAACGUUUCCUCUUUUUCUGAGUUUUUUUUUUUUAAGUUUUAUACAUGAGUCACAUUCGCAGAAAGCACAGAGUUAAAAAGCAUCUUUCCUCAUAUGCAUGCUGCUAAGAAAAUAGUUUUAUACACAGAACUUCAACAGGAGAGAGAAGAGGACAGGGAGGGCGGGGUACAGGAGGAAUGUCAAGAAGUGAGGAAAGGACAGCAGCCAGGGCCAGACCACAGUUGGUCACUUUUCCUCUGUUGUCUAUAUUUGUAACUGCCAUUUUUGGUGUCAUAGUAACUAGCUCCAUCCUGCCUGCAAUUGGUUGGGAUAUGUUUUAAUUUUAAAAUAGAUGGGACAGGAAGUAAUAUUCACAGAAUACAUGGGGACUAAGGACUGAGUUGAAAUUUUUCUCUCCAUCUCUUCUGCACACAAGCCACUGCUUCAUGAUUAGCAUUUAUAGAGCAGAAUCACUGAGAGACUGGAAAACCUAAGUCCCAGGACUGAUUUAGGAAUAUUAAAUGGGCAAUAGUGGAGACAGCCCGAGCAGCGUGACCUCAGGGAUAUCAGACUAGAAGAAAGUUUCUGGGCAACAUAGGAAAUUUUGCAGGCUUUUCCUUACUAAAAUAAAAUACCUAAUUCUCUAUCCUGUCCACCUUAGCUGGGCUUUGGAGUUGCCAGAAUUAAUGCCCCUGGUAGUUUUGGAAGCAGUGAGGUGAGGAAACUUCCCCCUGGUCAGUCUUCUGUGGGGCCCCCUACUGAUAGCCCCCUACCAAAGGCUCAUGGUGGGCUCUAGUCCUCUCCUUGCAUGCCCAUUGCUAUGAAUGUCUUCCUCAAACGGUGCCAGCUCUAGACCCCUGGCUCCAUCGUGGAUGCCUCCUCUGUAAUGGAGGAGCUAUGCUGGGCUAGAUUGUGGGGAGCACGACCAAGGGCAGAGGACAGGGGGAUAGAAAAGUAGACGGGGAACAGGGGGCUCCGUAAAAGCAAAGAAGGUUUAGUGUCCAGAAAUGUGACGGGGCCACAGGGGAGGGGAAGAGUGGCUUGUAGAAAAAGUAAAUGAGUAGAGUAAGAGAUGCAUACCUCAGUUUCACAAAACAAACUGCCCCAUCUGCCUACCCCUAUCUUUCUGGUACUGCCGAGGUACUUCUGUUGACAUUGGCUUUGCUGACAACUGAGAAUAAGGGGAUGUUGUCUAUCUUGGAAAUACUCAAUUCAGGGGAGAGGGACGCAUCUCUCCCUAGAGUCCGGGCUCUUCUCCAGGUUACCGGCCUUGCCUCUGAGGCUGGCAUGGUGAGAAGGCUGCAGUCCUGUGAGGAUCACCAGACACCAGCAGGAAGUUAAAGCUGUUUGGUUUUUCUCCAGAGACAAGGUAGUUUAAAGACACCCUUAAAACAAGGGAAGGGUGGCACAAACAGAAAACAAAACAAAAAAACCACUUGUUUGAUGGGAGAGGUUUUUUUUUUUUUUUUUUUUUGUAUUUUCCAAGUUGGUUUUUCUUUAGUUCAUUUUCUGAUCUCUCCAUCUCUUUUGUGCAUAUGUGCACUCACUCUCUCUUGCUCUCGUUUUUUUGGUUGUGUUUCAGUCUUUUUAAAAUAACUUUGGAUUUGCCGUUGGUGGGCAGUGCCGGUCCCCAGAGGCUGAACUGCCCCAUAGCAGGGGUAGGCCAAGGGGCAGACCCAUGGCUGCUGAGAGGAUCUCUGUGUUUAAAGCCUUUGAGAAUAAACUACUGCAGUUCCCAGGGUGCAGGGUGGGGCUGGCAGAGGGGUUCCUGGGGCGGCUUCUCCUAGAGUCCAGGCCACAGGGCCCCCCUAUCUGGGGAGGAGAGGGCUAGGAAGGAGGGGUCUGGGGAGAGUGAACUGGGAGCACUUCUCCUCCUGCCAACCUCCAGUUUGGUUGAGUUUUGUGGGCUCCCUGCCCAUCUCAGGCUCCAAACUUGGGAGCCCACUGUUUUUGGGAAGAGUUUGAACGCUAUGAUGCUCUAGACAAAGGGGGUGGGAAGAAGGGGGAGUGACAAAGUUUAUUUUGUUCCCCUUCUUUGUCUUGGGUUUUCUUUCUUUCUUCUUCUUUCUUUUCUUCUUCUUCUGUUUUAGUUUGUGUGUUUGCCCAGGGGAACACCAUGGGAUAGAGUGUGUGUAUGCAUUUAAAGGAGUGGGGGAAUGCUGAUUCAGUGGGGAGAGUAAAAAUGGAACCAAGUGUGUAUUUUGUGCAUGGUGGGCAGAUAGGUAUGAGUAAUAUGGAUGCCAAGGGCUGUGUCUAUGUGUGUCUGUGAAGACACGGGGCAAGGUUGACACCUGCAAGGACCAAGGAUAAGGAUCAGUGUGUGUCUGUGGGUAAGGGAGGAGGCAGGAGUCUGCUGGAGGUGGGGUGUGUGAGGCCCACUGAGGGUGGGAACUGAAGGUUCCCAUGAGGUGGGCGGAGCCAAAGGUUGGGGCCAGGGAUCUGAGCUCCCACCAAAUACCCCUUGGGGUACAAGUAGGAGCCCUCCCAUCUCCCAUCUUGGUUUAUCUGUUUAUAAAGCUAGAAGUGUAGAGGUAGUAGUAGUUUUUGGGUUGGAGUCCGUGUGAGGUAAUCUUGCUUCCUCUUUGGCAAAAGCCACAGCAGCUGUGGCAGCAGUGGCGGUGUUGGUGACGGUGAUGGGUGGGCCCCCUGGGGGCGGGGCUGCCUUGCGCCUGUGGGCUGACGAGCGUAGGUGGGAAGCCAGGGCUUCACGGCCACUCAGCAGCACCUCACAUGCCAGGCAGUGGUAGGUGCAGAUGGGCACCCGUAAUGGGGGGGGCACAGAGCCUCCUGAGCCCCGCCCAAAGAAGCAGAAGGAUCUCUGGUGGGCAAUGGCCGGGGCCUCCCCAUCAAAUGCCAUCUUGCAUUGGCGGCACAGGUAACGGUGAGUCACAUCCACGGUGGAGAUGCCAGUGCUGCCUGUCAGCAGCUCAUCAGCCUCACCAGCUUCUCCCUCCCCCGGAGCUGGCAGUUCAGGAGGCUUUGGAGGUGCUGUGCCUGUGGGCUCAGGGGGCUGAGGGGGUGGCUGGAGUAGGGCAUUGGGGAGCAGCCCAAUGAGGGUCUGAGGUAUCACAGGGUUCAUGGGAAAUAGCCCCUUCUUCAUGCCAUAGAGCUGCUGGAAGUAGGCCCCCUGUAACUGGGGGCCAAAGACAGCUGGUGGUGCUGCCCCCCCUGCAGGGGGCAAAGGGAAGGGCAGGAAUUGGCCUCCCAACAGGGCUGGGACAGUGGCCUUCAAUGCUUUGAGGUUCUUGAGGGCAUCAGUGGAAGAGUUGGUAGGGGCUGUUAGUGGCUUUCGCUCACCAGAGACCUUGUUCCCUGAGGGCUCAGUGGGCAGGCCCAGGACAGGGUCAGUGGUGCUUGCUGUGGAGGUGUUGGUUUGGUCGGGCACAGGUCUCUGAGGUAAGGGGCGGCCUGGGCCAGCAGUCUGGACCACUGUGGUAGCAGGCAGGACAGAAGUAGCAAGGCUGAGGAGGCCUGAGGAGGCUGCAGGGCCUAGCAAGAUCAAAGGGUGAUGAAGCAUUAGCCAUUUCCUGCCUCCACACCCACAUUCCCAGCUCCCAUGCUCCCUUCCCUCUUUUCCCGGGAGCCUAGGCAGUGAUGGUGAACUUUGCAAAGCUUUCAAUGGUGAACAGCCCAUGGCGGCAUGUGUGCCAUAGGUUCAUCACCACUGGCCUAGAACAAAGGAGGGACACAGGUAGACACUGGACAUGGGAGGGUCAGGAAGACAAAGCAAGGGCAACUGUCCCACUCACCUGAAUUGAAAGGAGCUAAGCUGCUAAGUGGUGGCUGGGCCAGAGCUGGGCCAGACAAGAGGACUGGGGCCAGGCGAGGCAGGGCUGGGGCAGCCCCAAGGGGCAAGGAGGCAGGUGUGGUGGCAGGUGGAGCUUUGGGAGCUGGGGCUGCCUCAGGUGCUGGGGCCAAGUCGUAGCACUUGCUUUCGCUCUUCAGCUGGGCCCGGACUGCCUCCUUGAGUUUGGCCAGGUGCUGGCGGGAAAAGAGAUGGCCUCGGCAGGAGACAUAGAAAUCAUACUUGACAUCACAGUAGGGGCAGUCAGUGCGCUGGGCUGCCAAGAGGCCCUCGCUGCUGGCCCCGUUUCCCCCUGUGGCCAUCCCCUGCAGUUUGGCCUUCUUUUCCUUGGCACGAGCAUUCUGGAACCAGACCUGAAUGACUCUCUUGGGCAGCCCGAUCUCCUCCCCCAGCACUUCACAUUCCUGCAUGGUGGGGGUGCGGUAGGCUUCAUAGCAGGCUUUCAUGAUCUUCAGCUGCAAGCUGCUCAUCUGUGUCCUGUAACGCCGCUGCCCCAUCCCAUCAGGAACCCCAUUCCCUCCUCCUGGGCCCCCACUGGUCCCUCCAGCCCCAGGGGACUCUGGCUCAGCCAGGCUGGAAGCAGAUGAGUCACUUAGGUCUCCUGCAGAUGGACUGCAAGCUUCACUCUCUGGAGAUGCUUUAGAUGACUCUUCAGGGCCCUCGUCCUCACUGGGUAGAGGGGGAGGUGGGAGAGGUAGCAGUGGCUCUGGUGUGGAUGUACUGGCCUCCUUCCCUGGUGGUAGGAAAGGUGGGGGCCCAGCACCUGGGGUGGCCGUGGGGUAGGGAAAAGCGGGUGCUUCCCUCUUUGAGGACUCCUUCCCAGUGCUGUCGUCUGACUUGCCCAACAGGAGGUUGAACUUGGGAAAAGGUGCAGGGGUAGAUCCAACAGUGGGUUUGACUGCGGGACUGGACACCCCACCAGGAGUGCUUCGAAACUGGCCUUUCCUUUCCCUGGCCCUGGUAUUCUGGAACCAGACCUGUACUACUCGCUUUUUGAGCCCCACCUCCUCGGAGAUACAGUCAAGCAUCUUGCGUGUUGGGUUGGAGUCCUGCAUGUACCAACGGUACAGGAUCUCCAACUGCUCAGGCAGGAUGGUGGUGCGCAGGCGCUUGUCCCUGGGGGGAUCCCCAUCCACUGCACCCCCUGCUUCACUGCCUGUUGGGGACAGGCUGCCGUCCUCAUGCUUCCUUUUGAGGGGUGGCCCUGGCACCGGUGGGGUGCCAGCUGCCAGCGGGUUUCGCUCCCCAAACACCAGCAAAGGCAGAUCUAGGAGCUGGGGAGGAGCGCUGGGUUGCACAGAUGGCAAGAAAUGUAGUCGGCGGUGACUGAUGAGAAGGUCCUGGCUGGGGAAGGAGAUGGCACACUGCUCACAGGUGUGGGCUGGGGAAGGCGAGGGAUUCCCUUCGGGCUCUUUGCUUCCUGACUUGGUUGCCUCUGCCUGGCUCAGCUCUUCCACUUCUGGAGGUUCUGGUGAUGGACCCUUAGGUCCUGCUGGGGCUUCCAAGCUCUGUUCCUCCUCUGCAUCUUCUUCUACCACUUCCUCCUCUUCCCUUCUCUCUGUUUCUUCCUCCUCCUCUUCAGGGGUCUGAUCAUCGUAACACUUCUUAAGGUGCCGUACCAACUCAAAAACACAGGAGAAAGUGGUGUGGCAUCGCCUGCAGCCAGAGGCUCCCCCAGAGCUUCCUCCGGUUGGCACAGGCCCACCUUCACAGGCAUUUUUGCGUGCUUUCUGGCGGGCAUUCUGGAACCACACUACUACCACACGGCUAGCCAGACCCAAGAGACUUGAGAGUCGCUCCACCUCUCCAUCCUUGGGGUAAGCACUGGUCUCAAAGAAAGACUGCAGGGCCUGGGUCUGGAACUCUGUGAACUUGGUUCUGGAGAACCUGCGGCCUGCAGGAGCUAGGAGAGGAUGGUUCCCUUUGGAGCUUUCUUCCUCCUCUGUAGGCCAGCAUCCUCCUGCCCGGCUUUGCUCUUCAGGGGCAUGGGUUCCUCCUGCCUCAGGCUCCGGAACCCGGAAAGGUGGGCCCAGUUGAGGAGCAGGUGACUCGAGAGACCCAUCGGGAAGUUUGGGGGGCUCCACAGGGGGUGGGUAUAGGCUAUCAUAGCUCUUUCGAAACUGGGCGGCAUAACGGCUCAGUGCCUCGAAGGGCAGAAAGCGGCGGUGGACAUGCUCCUCAUGUGUUUUGAGGAUAAGCAUAUUGGAGAAGAGUUUCCCACAGGCCCCACAGGCCAGCUUGUCCCCACCCCCUAGGGCCUCUGGAGGAGGAGGUGUUGGGGGAGGGGGCACAGCCUGCUUCCCUUCAUUGUACUGAAUCACGAGCUCAAAGCCGAAGUUUUCUAGAAGGGCUUUGGCUGCGGUGCGGGUGGCCUCAUUGGGUGAUGGGUGGGGUGGUGAGGAUGGCCCUGCCUCAUUCCCCUCCUCAGCCACGACAGGCCGCUCCCAUUCCUGCUCAGCCAGCUCAGCUUUAGGGGGUGGGGGUGGAGGAGGUGGGGUGACAGAUGGUAGGGACAGCAUGGGUGCAGGCCCAGCUAGUGCCAGCUUGGGCCCUACCUUGAGGUCAUGGAGAUAGAAGGGAAGGAGCAGCUGUUGCUGCUGGAGCUUAAGCAGUGAUUCGGGCAUCAGAGGGAAGGGGGGAAAUACUGGUGGAGUGAAGAUAGGGGCUGGGAAUCGGUGCAGGUCCAAGGGGGGCGGAGGUGGGGACAGGAAGGGCAGCCCAGAUAUGAAGCCACUGGGGUCAGGGCCCUUCUUCUCAGUGCCCACCUCCCCCUCAGUCUCGCCUUCCUUGGGCUCUUCUUGGCUACGCUCUGGCCCCUCAGCCUUGGCAUCGGUCUUGGGCCCUCUGGAGCGAGUCUGGUGCAGAACUGACCGCAUGUGGAUCUCUAGCGUAGAGCUCUGGUUGUAGGAAACCCGGCAGACUGUGCACUUAAAGGGCUUGUCAGUGGCAGUGGUGGUGGUUGGUGGGGCACCAGCCUCUCCACGGGCAGGGCCCGAAGGGUCAAUUGCAGCCUUCUUCAUCUUAUGGAGGUGGGAGACAGAAUUAUAAUGAACCAAAAGGAUGUUCUUCUGAGUGAAGGACUCCUUACACACAGUGCACUUGUAGGGCCGGGCAGGGUCCAGAAACUUGUCCAGGGCAAAGUUAGUAGUUUUCCGAUAGGUCAGAGGAUGGCGAGGAUCAGCUGGGGCUGGCUCUGCAGAGCGGGGCUCCCCCGUAGUCCCCUCUUCUUCUUCAGCCAUCGUGGGUGGAGGAGCUGUUUCUUCAGUUUGGGUGUCAGGCUGAGGGGCUGGAGAUGGAGCUGCAGAAGAAGGUUGCUCAGGGCUUCCCAGUGGCUUGUCUGGAGCCUCAGCUGGGGCCAGAGGAGGCUCAGGAGGAGAAUCUGGGCUAGCUUCUGAGGUCAGGUUAGGGCCUUCUAUGGAAGACAAGAAAGUGCAGUGAGCAAAGAACUUCGUUCAGGAUGGCCCUCGUAUCUUUAAAAUCUAGGGCAACAAAGCCUGGCUUCACUGUUCUUUAGAUCUUCUUAGCCCAUCCCCAGGGAAGGUAUGCUGUCUUCUUCCUUACCUGCUGUCUGGUCUCUGCUUGGUGUGGGCUCUGGCCCAGGAGUGGGGGCUUGUGGGCCAUCCUCCAGAGGGCCGAGUGAGGGCCCAGGCAGCACUUUGGUUGGAAAGGCCAUCUCUAUGGGUGUGGCCUGUAAUGUAAAAAGCUCUGGUGGCUUCACCAUCUCCCAUCCCCAUUGCCCGCUGUGCUAUUCCUGUGCUGAGCUUCCCUCCCAUAGAUCAGCCUUUCUGGACAAACACACCUCCUACUGGCUGCUUCCCUACGACGAAGGCCUGAGAUGCUGCCUUUCCUCUCAGCCUCCCUCCUUCCCCAGGCCAAGGUCAGCUUUCCUCGAGGCCACCUGGCCCUGACAGACCUGGAGUUGCUGUCUUGUUUGUCAUCUCCAGAUUUAAUGGAAGUGAGAAGUGCUGAGUUUCCUCAUCCAGUAGAUGCAGCCAGCCAGGCUUAGCUCUGAGAGUCCCUCCAACUCAAAAUCCCACUCCAAAUCUGUGAAAUGAUGCUUUCUUCAUCAGCCUCCCCCUAACACCUACACUUGUCUGCAGGGCACUGCACAGUCCUGCCUAAGCCUCAGUGGACCAUCCUCACCCAGCCUGUACUCACCACAAGCAGCAGCUUCUCAACACAUUCAGGGACUACGUUGUGCAGGUGGCUGAGGUGGAAGUGCAGGGCAGGCCGGCCUACCAGCUGCUCCUGGCACAGUGGGCACCUGUAUUUGGGCUGCACUGCAUGCUGGGAGAGUGUAUGAGCCCUCACUUGGUCAGACUCUGGGCUCGAGAAACUGCAGUAUGGACAGCAGUACACCUGGGGAGCACAAAUGGACAGUGGAGGAGGUGUCAGGGAAGGGGACCCACCAUUACACAGUCAUCCGGGUUUGCCGGUGCAGCUGUCCCUCCUCCCAGUUUAGUAGGAACAAGCCAGAUGGGAAGGCACCUCAGCCCCAAAACCUGAGAGCUGGCUUCUCUCCCACCUCUCUUGGACUGAGACAGAAGAUUUAGCGUAAGCCGUGACCUUGCUUUCCUCCUUUCUUUGGCACUUUCUACUCAUCUUGGCCUCUAUUUUUUUUGUUAUUGUUGUUGGUUUUUCUGUAUCUCUGCUGACAUACUCAAUUCUCCAGCUGACAGCACUGUACCUGCCUCCAUCUCACAUUUAGUUUUUUGGCUCACACCUGUCCUGCCUGUAUCUUCUCUGUGAAAUGCAUCCAGUUCCUUUGGGUACCUUCUAGACCCAGAGAUCUCUACUCACUUUUGCCACUGAAGGUUCCUGAACGUUUCCCACAGAGGGGUCCUACCUGUCUGCUCAGAAAUUGGCUCAUUUUCCCUCUGGUUCAGAAGCUCCCACAUUUUUUUCCCCUGUCUUUGUAAUAUGAACAAAUGCCCUAUCUUCCCCAUGGGGCCUGAGCUGCAGCACACUCCUGCCCAUACUUCAGGAGGGGCAGAGCCAGGAAAGGCCUGCUGUCACCACCUGACUGUCUCAGCUGGCCAGCCUGAGCUGCAGAGCAAACUUAUCUGUGGCUCAUUUCCUCUCUCUCCUGUCACCUGAAGUGGGUGGCUGUAGAGGAGAGAAUCCAGAUGCUCAUCUUAAUGUACCCACUAAGCCUUAGAGCGGACAUCAUAACAGAUCUGUUGAGCAGGAGUUAAAAGGGAGACAAGCCGUGAGUCCCCGAAUAGCAUCUCAAGGCCAGAGGGUGGGAACCCUUCAGAAUCAACUUUCAGAUCGCAAAGCUAAACCACUCUGAGAUCCUGCUAGGUCCAAAUCCUGGGGGCUUGGAGGCUUGCAGGACAUGCUUUCAGCAUGAAUCAUUUGGUUGGUGCUUCCACCUUCCAGAAGAGGGUGUCAGGACAGUCUCAUUCAGACUCAGCUUUCUGCAGGAUGAAAAUAUCUGCGUGUAGUUGUCUCUCUGCAGUUGGUCUUUUUGUUGUUUAUUUUUUUUGAGACAGGGUCUCCCUCUUAGUCCAGGCUGCCUUUGAACUCAGUAUGUAGCUCAGGCUGGCCUUGAACCUACAGUGAGUGAUUCUCCUGUCUGGGCCACACUGGGGUUAUAGUGCCUGCCAACAUACCCCACGUGGUAGCUGGUCUUUAGUUUUGCCUUUCUCUUUUCAUCUCUUCACUCUUUCCUCCUUUCCUGCCAUCUGUCUCCCUCAUCCCUGCUUUAAUAUAGUUCCUCUCUUGUACCUCUCCCUCUAACUCCUACCAUCCCUUCCUCUCAUCUGCUGUACCCCAUCCCUUGGGCCAUUUCUGUUGUUUAUGCUUAACAUAUGUAAUUGGCCCUGAUAUAAUUUCUCACAUGUGGGAUUCUGAGUGAAAUAAGUCACAAGUAUACUAAAAGUGCCUAGAAUAUGACCAGACCCCCCUCUCAACUGGUCCCGUUUCCCCAGUUCUGACCGUGGUUUGGUUGGCACUGUCUCUGGAAGGGCCAGUCUUGUUCUCUGCCUCUUCAGAAGCUGAGGAUGAAAGCAGAGCAGAUUAAGAGACUCCGACAGCCUUCCCUUUUCUGUUCACAGACACCCAGCCCUUAAGAUGAUUUGUAGUAGAGGACUUUCUGGGCAGCAAAGUGGGUUCUUGGAACAGGCAAAAGGGCAAGAAACUCAGUACCCAGGUGAGGCCUGAGUCAGCAGCCAGGCAGGGGCUAACUGUAGGUGGGUAAGGUGGCCAGGGUUGGGUCCUCUGAGAAGGUAGAAGCAUCUAGCUCAGCCUCCCUUCCCUCUAAUGAGCCCCUCCUUUUUUUUUUUUAAUCUUUUUAAGACAAGGUCUUUCUAUGCAGUUCAGGCUGGCCUUGAACUCAGUUUGCAACAUAGGCUGGUCUCAAACUCACAACAAUCCUCGUGCAACCUCCCAAGUACUGGGGUUACAGGUGUGUGCCACCAUGCCCAGCCUAAUGAGCCCUUUCACGGACCAAUGUAGCCUCAGCAUAGGAGGCUUUGUUGGGGGCUUAGAUCUCUGUGACGACCUGUGAGCAUGUCAGAAUGUUAUGGAGGACUGGGACUGGGGGACAAGAAAGAAAAUAGGACCACAGAAGCAACUCACCCAACUGUUCUGUCUUGUUCUGGAGAUCUUUCUCAAAGGUGGGUGGCUCGGCUAGGGGGGUGACAGGAGUCUUCCCUGUGUAGGAUAGGGGAAGAGUUAACUUAAAGAGGUGAAGCAUCAGGGAAGAGAGGACAGAGGAAGCAGGACAAGCAGCCAGUCAACAAAGAAGAGAUAAAUGGGUAAUCAACAGGUAGGAGAGGAUAAAACCCCCGAAAGAAAUCAUCACCAAGAAGGCGAAAGGCAAAAUUAUAGUAAUGGAACUAGGAGGGCUUAAGAGAUCAUUUCAGGCAAAUCUUGCCACCCUUGUCUUUUUGUAGAAAUAAGCCUUACAAUAGGCAACAGAAACUGGACUACACUUGGACCCUUGUCUUGACUGACCCUAGAAGCAGGGAAUCCCAAAAAUAUAGUGGGAGGGGCAUUCUGGAAGGUGCUGAAGUUGAAUGGAAAGGCAGUGGUGGUGAGCAGGAGCAGCAGGCCUAGCUGGGAGAGAAGAUUACCACUCAAGUAAGAAUUGACAGAUGUGUAGGAAUUUAUUUUCAGUGGCAGCCUAAUUAAAGUGUUAAAGUUCCUUAACUCCAUUCAGCCCUGCGCCAGGAUCGUUAGCUAUUGAUCUGGGCCCCUCCAGCACUUAACUCCAGCCAGCAUAUUGGCAAUUCAAUUAGCACCAGUCAAUGCCGCUUGUUCCUGGUUCCUGCUGCCUGUGCCCUCACCCUCGCCCACUGCUGGCCUCUGCAAAGCCUGCAGUCCAUGCCCAUCUCUGUUUGACAGCCCCUUCCAGGCUCUUCUGCACCUUUUGGAUCGAUGGUGCUGGGCUGUUUCUGGCCCCUGCUGGCACAGCUUCAGCCGCCUAAGGGGAGCUCUAAGCCCAGCCGUAGGGCUGAAGACCUCCUAAGAGAGGAAGAGGCCAGGAAGUUUAUUGGUGCCUCUUCCCAUCCCUGCUGCUUUCUCUCCUUUCUGACCAGCUUCAGCCUGUGGUUUCCCACCCCCACAGGUGCUAGGACACCAGUCAAUACUGACUCACUGGGCGAUUUCCCCUCAUCUCCCUUCCUGUUCUCUAUUCUCUACCCAGCCCUUCUCAGCAUGCCUCCAAAUUCCCUCUUGUACCCUCUCCUCACAGGGCAGCCACUGUGAUUCUGUAGCCCCCAUCCUAGCUUAUUUCCCUCCAUGGCUGUUUUCUUCGUGCUGUUGAUGAGACCUAUUUCUCCUUCCUGUUUCACCCUCUUAGCUCCCUGCUGCCCACCUGCCCAGUCCUCAUUCUCCAGGCCCCUCUUCCUCACCAGGAGCUCGGAGCUGCCCAUGGCUGAAGCUUAGGAUGCUCUGAAGAGCUGAGAGUCCGUCCUCGGCUGAUGGGCCAUUCUGUAGCAGCUGCAGACGCCUCUGGGCUUGAGCAUCCCGGUGGGCAGCAGAAACUAGAAGCAUGGGAAGUGGCUGGCACUCAGGCCCUAAAGGGACACCUCCAUAUCACAGACUUUGCUUCCCACACUUCCUCCCAAGGCCGUUUCCCUCCAGUGAUCACCUGAGUAUCUGCUUGGCCUGGACAGCACUCCCUCCUGUAUGUGAAUGAAAUCUGCUUCUGUCUUUUUGAACUUUUGGUAAUGCGAUGGACUGAGCUGACACUGACUCCUCCCUCCAGCCCCAAAUACCAGAAGAGCUGAAUAAAGUCUUUGUUUCAUGUUC